CACCCUGAGUUCUAACUAGAGUUUAGUUGGAAAUGGAUUUGUUGUCGUGGUUUGCCAACCGUUGCAGUAUCCAAAACGCCCAGAAAAAGAGGUAGGGAAUCAGGAAGAGGGAAAGCCCUGAGGGGAAAUGGCCCCAUGGGCCCAGGAGAGCUGGCAAUGCUGAGGUCCUAUUCAAGGACAACCACCUCCCCCCCUUGAUAGUGUGGCCUUGCUGAUGCUGAGGGUUUGAGAACCAGGAAAGCCUGAUCUUUAUUGGUACUCCCAGAAUCUUCUCAAAUGGUGAUGUAAACCUGAGCAAGAAAGGCCAGGGAUGUAACCUGCCCCCUGCACGGCCAUGUCAUGGAUGUACCCAGAGCUAAUUAAAUCAGGAACCUAAUCUAAAGUCACUGGGCUUCUUUCCCACUCCUCCACCCCGAGUCUGUAGCCCACCUAAAAUACAGCUAGCCCCUACUCAUUUAUACUAAAACGAUCAAGUGUCAGUCCCUGCCUUAAGGAAGUCUCAAGCCUGUUAGUCACUGUUAACUGUCUCUGUGAGUCAUUCAUUCAUUCAUUCAUUCAUUCAGCAAAUAUUUAUCAUGUGCCUACCAUGUGUGCUUAUUGUAUAGGCUAGUCCCUCGGGAAACAGCAAUGAACAAAACAGCCAAAAUUUCCUUUUUUCCUGGUGUUUACAUUCUACUGGGUGGAAGAGGUCAUAAAUAAAUGCAUUAUUUUUUCAGAUGGUGAUAAAUGAUAUAAGAAACAUAAACAGAGUGAGGGGUAGAGAAAGUAAUAGGAAUGGAAUGGAUUUUUAUUUCCCUGCUAGUGGGAGGCCUCUCUAAUGAGAUGACACAUGAACAGAGAUAUGAGGAAGUGUGAGGUCCAUCUAGCAGGGCAGUUAACUGGGGGAAGAGUCCUGCAGGCAGAAGAAACAGUAAGUGCAAAGGCCCCUGGGCCAUCAUACUUGCCUUAUGGAGCCCAGUGAGCCAGGAGGAAAGUGAUGAGAAGCAAGCCUGGAGAGAUGUCAGGGCCACGGUGGGACUUUGGCUUUGACCAGAGGGAGUAAAACGGGAAACUCUGGAGAGUUUUGAGCACUGAGCGACAUAGUCUGAUUUUCAUUUUCAAAGGAUCACUUCAGUUGCUAUGUUAAGAAUAGACUGUAGGCGGCCAAGAGUGGAGCAGGGAAGCCAGUUAGGAGUUUAUUACAGCCAGGCGGGCAGAGGAGAGGGACAAUGACUCAGACCACCGUGGCAGAGAAGGAGCAGAGAAGCAGUGGCCACGUUCUAGAAAUAUUUUGGAGGUGGAGAUGAUGGGAUUUACUUAUAGACAAUAUGGAUAUGGGAAAAAAAAAAAAAGAGCGAGAGAGAGAAGAGACUGAGACAAUGCGAGGUUUCUGGCCAGAGCAACUGUGAAGAUGGAGUUGCCAUUUACAGGCACAAAGGCUUGGAGGAGAGCAGAUUUGGGGAAAAUCAAGAUUUUUAUUUCAGCCAAGUUUAAGACAUUCUUAAACAUCCAAGUGACGAGGUCAAGUAGGCAGUUUAAUAAACAGUGCCAUUUAUGUUGUGAAAAAUGGGAAUGGUGACGGGAUCCUUUUUGAGUUGCUGUGUUUUUAUUGUGGUUUUAAUUAACUUGCUUUCCUUGAAUAGCAAGAAGUGCUUGAGGCGUCAUGGAUAGUAAAUCUAAAAAUGAUCCCAGAUCGGCUGUUGUCUGCGGUGUGGUGUGUGGGAUGACGGAGUUUGUGCGCACGUUCGGGUCACGGCAGGGGCUGUGCCCACCCCCGCCCGCCGUCGGCAAUGGGAAUGACCGGCUGGAGUCCGCACCCACCCUUCUCCCACCCGCCACGGUGCGGAGAGGUUUGUCAGACCCUCUGUAGAACAGUGACAGGCUUGGAAGACAUAUUUAGUAAGUAUUAGCAGUUUUUACCCUUUUUAUCAUGAUUCGUGUGCUGGAGUGAGCUUGCUUGGCACUUCUAUAAUGGAGUACUUCAGUAUAAGAUGAGCACCCCCGAGAUGCUCAGGCCGGGAGGGGUGAAGCCUCCCUAGUUUGGCAGCUGUUAGCAGGGCGGUUGUGUAGGUAGGGGCAGGAGGGCGGAGAGGAGGGCUGUCGCCUGAGUGAUUUGUGAGCUGGGAAAGGAAAAAGUCCGGAUUUCCUUGGGAGCAUCACUGAUUUUUCAGGAGGCUCAAAUCAGUUCUCCUCUGAAAUUAAACGACUCUCUUGUGAACAGACAACAGUGAUUGACCCAUCGGACCUAAUACCGGAAUUUAAAGGUCCUCAUGAGCCUUACAAUAAAAUGGCAGCCAACAAAAUCUCUCCAAUUGACUUCUUUCCUGUAAUUUUAAAAGCGGAUUUCAGUGAAUUCAGCCCUUGGGUUGAAAUUACGGAGAUAAAUGGCUUGUAAGCAAAAAUGGCUGUGUGUCAAAAUGGGCAUAUAUAUCCCCUACAAUUUAUGCUAGGCAAAAACCACUUGACAUCCCCAUGAGCUGAUGUGUGGUUUGUGUUCUUUUAUCAUUUCUGCAGACAAAUGCAUUUUCUAAGUCUUCUAGAAAUGGAUGCUGUGUUCUCCAUGAGUAAUAACAGUGUCUCCCAUUUAUCAAGUGCUUGUGUGCCAAGCAUAGGGCUGAGCACUUUACCAGCCUGCCUCGAUUUACUUCUUCCCACUUUCAGGUUUUGUGUGAUCAUAUUUUUUUUCCUUUAGGUUUCAGCAUUGUCUUCUCAUUUACAAAAACACUGUUACAACUCUUUGUAACUCCAGCCUCUCUGAAAUUGUUUGUAUCUAAUGGGGAUCACUAGCUCCAUUUUCCAGACGCACAAACUGAACCUCAGCUGAGCUCAGCCAGUAGAAAGCAGAGAAGACUCAAACCUAGAUCCAAGCACAUGCUCUUUCUGCUGCUUCACACACAGCAGACUGAGACCUAUUCCUCACAGAGAAGGAGGGAGACAGUUUUUAAAUUCGAAUCCUUUGUGCGUCAAGGUUCUUGGGCCAGGCAUAGCGAGCAGGAUUGGCUAGAUAAAUAUAAAUAGACACAAGCAGAAGACUACUCAGGUUGCAUUUCACUCACCGUGCUGAAGGUAAUACAUGUUUGUCCGGGAGCAGACAAAUAACACUCAGUAAAAGUGGUUACAGAGAUGAGUUUGAUUUCGAAGUGGUGUUGGCCUUGAAAAGGUUUAAGGAAAAGGAGAAAGAUGACUGUAAGAUAAGGGUGAUUAUCUGUUCUCUCCCUUCAUUAAGGUGGCAUCCUGGGCAGUGUGGCGGUGAGACAAGUGGAGCAGGUCGUUGGGGAGCCGUGUUGCAUAGAUAAGGACAUCGUUCACCCCUGACUAUUUCCAAGACAUUUCUAACAGCUGUGUAAUAUUUCACAAGAACUUAACCUACUGAGUGCUUGCUCUGUCCAUGGGCAUACCAAUGGUUUUCAGUUCUCUGUUCCUGGACAUAGAGUGGCAGCAACCUCCUUGAACACAUGUCUUUACAGUUUUGUUUUUUCUUUUUUCCUCUUUCAUGAAUCAAGAAUCUUGAUAAUUAAAGCCCAUUUCCUCUUAACGAUGUUUGCCUGGCGAUUGGCAUUUAACUGAGA